UAACUUACCACCUAUUCCAUAUACUUGCAACAUCUGCCACAUUGCUCCUCUAUCCACUCUAUCAUAUGCCUUUUCUAAAUCCAUAAAUGCAAUAAAAACUUCCCUAUCUUUAUCUAAAUACUGUUCACAUAUAUGCUUCAAUGUAAACACCUGAUCUACACAUCCCCUACCCACUCUGAAACCUCCUUGCUCAUCCGCAAUCCUACAUUCUGUCUUAUCUCUAAUUCUUUCAAUUAUAACCCUACCGUACACUUUUCCUGGUAUACUCAGUAAUUAUCCCAGAAAUAUCUAGAAUCGGCCACUCAUUAUUCUACAGAAGCUGCUUUCCCAGUAAAUAAUGCUUUCUAACUCUACCAGAGAUUGAUUGGGAUUUUCACAGAGAAACCUGCCACUGCAAAAGAUGAUAUAUAUCCAGGAACAAGUCACAAUCUUAAUAAAUUUUUUUGCCCAAUACAAAGAGAAUAGAGCAGACCUUAAAUAUCUUCCAUGCUCACAGAGGAUCUCACUGAUGAGACGAGAAAAUGGCAAUUAGGGCACCAAGAGGUCUGCAUUCAUCAGGUAAUGGAAUAGGUGCUUUCUUUUUUUUUAUCACCUGAGCUCUCAGAGCUUUCACCUUUCUCAUGGUAGCUGCUGGACUUCCCAUGUCUUCCAUCUUAUACAGCAGGUUAAGUUCCGGGCUACUGCUGUAAAGUGAAAAUCGCCGUAAAGUGAAUCAUAGUCUUAUUUCACUUUUAAACACAUAUCAAAGCCUGAUAACAUGUUUACACUAUCAUAUAUUAAGUGAGCCAUAUAGCUAGGCCUAAAAAAUGCAUAUACAUUAUACACAUUACUUUAAAAUAUUUUUGGUUUUAGCUUAUAGUGAGUUGUGAAUGUAUUUAUUGUAGGAAGUCUGAAUAAAUUGAGAAUGGACAGUUGAAAACCGCUGUAUUAGCAAAACACUGUAAAGCGGGGCCUGCCUGUACUUGUGCUGAGGUCAGUAUUUUGUUUGGUUUCUGGAAGGGUCAAGGCAUUUUUGUUCAAGUAUUUAAACUUGUUAGUAGACUGGUUCAGGAGAGAUAAAGUUUGCAGUGAGGGACACCAUGCUCAGUACAGUGGACCCCCACAUAACGAUUACCUCCGAAUGCGACCAAUUAUGUAAGUGUAUUUAUGUAAGUGCAUUUGUACGUGUAUGUUUGGGGGUCUGAAAUGGACUAAUCUACUUCACAAUAUUUCUUAUGGGAACAAAUUUGGUCAGUACUUGCACCUGAACAUACUUCUGGAGUGAAAAAAUAUCGUUAACCGGGGGUCCACUGUACUUCCAAAACUUGGUUCUUAUCUUCCCCAUGCUCCUUUCUAGUGAUGUGACAUCAUUUAUAAAAAACUUCCACAAAAUACCAACAUUAUUUAACAUUUAUGGAGCUCUUUUCCACAUUAUAAGCACCUUAUUUUGCAUUUCCAAAUUCAAAUCACUUCAUUACAAGUGUUAUGAAGGCAGUAGCCUGUAUAACACAUGUCUUAAUAUCUCCUCAGUGUAAUGGCUGUAUCAGAGGGUUUGUAUUGGGUGAUAAACACACAACCUUCACACUUGGGCCCUCAACUGCAAGACUGGAGUAUGAAUACAGGAAUUAUCUAGAAUAAGGAGAACUCUUAAUGUUCUGGUUAGGUACAUCUUCAGUGCAGUAAUAAAAUAAUUGUUGAACCAUUCAACAAAUGGCCUUAGUUAUUCAUGCUGCCUUGUUAGACUGCCAACUAUGAGGCCAAUAGGUUUUGUUUUGCUUUUGUACUUGAAGUUGUCUGCACAGAGAAGCAAGAUAAAGCUUCCUUAAGACAAGGUGCAAAUUUUUCUAAGCUCUUGAUGCAUUUGCUUCUAGCGUAGCUCUGUCUUAUCAUUCAGCACCUGGUCAGAAAUCAUUUGUGUAAUGUGAUCAAGUGAUGCACUCUUGCUACUAAUGUUUAAGGCUGAUUGUGGUUUUUAAAGAUUUCAAUCCAUCCAGCACUUCAAAUACACUGUUGUGAAGGCUCUCCUUUCUUCUUGCAUACUUUUAUAUCAGGAGAAGGUUUUGUGCCUUAUUAUCUAAACACUAUGCAUGACCCUUUCUCUGUUUUCUCCUCAAGUCACACAUUCAACAACUUUGAUAACGUGUUUAGCUGUACAGUGGAACCUCAAAUAUCGAACUUUCUUUGGUCCAGAAGUCUGUUCGAGUGCCUUUACCGAAUGAAUUUAUUCCCAUUAGGAAUAAUGUAAAUUAGAUUAGUCCAUUUCAGACCCUUAAAAAUACACUUAUAAAAGCACUUACAAAAAUACACUUACAUAAUUGGUUGUGUUGGGAGCAGUUCAAUUUUUGAGGUUCCACUGUAUUUACCUCUGACAUUGUUUGUGCCAAAGGGUAACAGAAACAAUGGGAAGACCAGAGUGAGCUCAUGGUUUACCAUGGAGGUGUGGAGAAGCUAAGCCAAGUGUGUUAGAGUAUGGAAAAUGUUUAGAAUUCAAAGGACUUGGGGAACCAGGGAAUUGAGCUGAAGAGCCAGAAAUGAAGAUGCAUGGAUAAGGAGAGAGGCCCAGUAGCAAUACGAGAAUGAUAGCAUCAAAAGCCAAUUCUGGCCAAAAGUUGUACAGCCACAUCAGGAGGAACACAACAGUCGAGGACCAGGUAAUCAGGCUGAGGAAGGGAGAAGGGGAGCUCAAAGGGAGUGGCCAGGAAGUAUGUGAGGAGCUUAUUUCAAGAUUCAGGAAGGUACUUACAGUGAAGAGAGAGACUUCCAGCAAACCGAGGGAGUAGGGUGCACCAACAAGUUCUGGAAGCACUGCACACAACCAAGGAUGAGGUGAAAAAAUGGCUAAGUGAGGUAGAUAUCCUUGAAGGCAUUGUACCCAGAUAACAUCUCCUUGGGUCCUGAGAGAGGGAGAAGAUGUACUGUGUGUACCACCUACAAUAAUCUUCAAUAAAUCUAUUGAAACAGGGCAACUGCCUAAGGUGUGGAAGAUGGCAAAUAUAGUCCCAAUUUUUAAGAAAGGAGAUAGACAGGAAGCACUAAACUAUAGACCUGUGUCGCUGACAUGUAUGGAAAGUUAUGGAAAAGAUUAUCAGAAGAGUGGUGGAGCACCUAGAAAGGAAUGGGCUCAUACAUGACAACCAGCAUGGAUUCUGAGAAGGGAAAUCCUGCAUCACAAACCUACUGAAGUUCUACGACAAGGUAACAGGAGAGAGGGAUUGGUAGAAUGCAUAUUCUUGGACUGUAAGGCUGUAUAGUCCUUGUGGCUUAGCGCUUCUUUUUGAUUAUAAUAGUAAUAAUUGGACUGUAAGGCUUUCGAUACAAUACCAUACAAGAGAGGUUGAAAUGCUAGAGGAGCAGGCAGGAAUAGCAGGAGAAUACUGCAAUCAGGAAAUACCAGACAGGAAGGAAAUAAUGUGUGUUGGUGUGUGGUGAGGUGUCAGAGAGAGUGUAUGUGUCAAGUGGGAUUCCACAAGGGUCAGUCCUAGGUCCAGUGCUGUUUCUAGUAUACGUAUAUGUGAAUGACAUGACAGAAGGGAUAUAUUCAGAGUACCCCUUUUUGCAGACGGUGUGAAGCUAAUGAGAAGAAUACAAAUAGACAAGGAUCAGGUAAGCCUACAAGGAGAGCUGGACAGGCUGCAAGCCUAGUUCCGACAAAUGCAAAGUGCAAAGUCAAGAAGUUCGGGGAAGGACAAAGAAGUCUGCGGGCAGAGUGCAGCCUAGGAGGUCAAAGGCUGCAAAAUUCACUCUAGGAAAAGGCUCUUGGGGUGACACGUCAUACUGAGCACAUCUGAAGCACACAUCAACCAAAUAACUGCUGCAGUAUAUGGGCACCUGGCAAACCUAAGAAUAGCAUUUUGACAUCUAAGUAAGGAGUCAUUUAAGACACUGUACACUGUGUAUGUUAGGCCCAUAUUGGAGUAUGCAGCAUCAGUAUGGAAUACACACUUUGUCAAACACAUCAAGAAAUUAGAGAAAGUGCAAAGGUUUGCAACAAGACUAGUCCUGGAGCUAAGGGGCAUGUCCUACAAGGAGAGGUUAAAGGAAAUCAACCUGACGACAUUGGAGAACAGGAGGGAUAGGGGGGACAUGAUAAUCGACAUAUGAAAUACUGAGAGGAAUUGACAAGGUGGACAGGGACAGAAUGUUUCAGAGAUGGGACACAGGAACAAGGGGGCCACAACUGGAAGUGAAAACUCAGAUGAGUCACAGGGAUGUUAGAAAGUAUUUUUCAGUCAUAGAGUUGUCAAGAAGUGGAAGAAUCUGGAGAGUUAUGCAAUGGAGGCAGGAUCUAUACAAGAGGUACUAUAAAGGAUUUAUACAAAAGGUACUGUAAAGCUCAUGGAGUAAAGAAGCAGGGCUAGGAGCUGUGAAUCAACCCUUGCAACCACAAAUAAGUGAGUACUCACACUUGUGGAGCAGGUUCCUUAUUGUAUUCACCUUUUUUGUUUGUCUGGGUUCAUUUAUGUUUAAAACACAGGAGCAUUAUUGGUACCAUUGAUUAAACCCUCCAAAUCUUCAGGAAUGUGAGGAACAGUGUGACGUGACCCUUUAUAAUUUCACUAGUGAAGAAGCUAAAGACUACCUUGAUCUUGAAUGGAACACUUAAAAAAUAGGAUUAGUACAUGUAUUAUGCUCAGGAAACAGGUAGCAGGCUUUACGGUACUAUUACUUAAUGCAUUCAUCAGAACAGGAGCCAUGACAGGUUCCCAGGCUUCUGAAAUGAAUAAAACUGUUUUUUUGAAGUUUUCACUGCCCUUUGGUGCUCUAAAUUCCACAGGUUCUCUCAUGAAUUUGUCGAGGCAGUGGAAUUUCCGACUCUUAAUUACUCCUUGAUCCAUGGGCUGAAUCAGGAACAUACAGUUAGUAAAGCACAUAGCAAAACAAAUUUGUGUAAUUGUUGAAGCAUUUAUUUAUUUGAGAGCAUUUAUCAAGCAGACUCAGAGUCUUGCAGUCUUCAAAAAACCUUUCUUUCCUGCAAUGACUCCGGGUUUCAGGCAUAAAAUAUUUAUCAGAUCAGUCCCAGUGUUUAUUAGAUCAGUUUGCUAGUUGGACCACUAGUGAAAGGGAAACACUGGACACUCUCAAACCCAUGCAGAUGAGCAUUUUCUUUUUCCAGUUAAGUGGAGCUCUUAAUUGUGUUUAAGCUACAUUCUUACAUGUGAAGACUGUUUACCGCUUGGGUUUCAUCAUCCCAUAGAUUGAUUUCUAAUAUAUUUCAGACAUUUAUGUUGAAUUUUGUGACUGUAUUUAUCAACUCUUGUAGGCAGCAUCAGCAACUGUGAUGAAUGCUGUGUCAAAAUUUUAAACUUGUAUACUCAGCUUUAGAAUAUUUAAUCUUUAUCUUCAUUUCUGCAUGAUCUGGUGAAACCAGUCAUAUAAAAUUUUGUACACAAAGGAACUUUGAGAUCCACUUACUGACCAUGACCAUACCCUUAACACUGUCACUGAGAAAAGAACUUGGAGAUUUAUCUGUUCUGUGUCCUCAUAUCAUGAUCUACUUCCUGCAGUAAUGCUGCUACUUGCUGAAUUGUUAGAGCAGUUCUCUGCACUGAACCAAGGCAUUUCUCUAGCAGUGGCAUUACUGUUCAUACUUUAUGAUCUUGAAUUAAACUCAGGCACUGUAUGAUCCCCAUGAGUCUAGUACUUCCCCAUGAAUAUAAUAAUAGUACAAUCUUUAAACAAUUUAUGCUUUUAUCUUUGAUAUUAUAGUCACGUCACAUGCCAUUAAAUUAAGAUGUAUAAUUGCACUCCUAAAUAGGGUACUCAAUAUACAUUUAUAAACAAUAACAAACUGCGGCUAGCCAGGGGAUCAAACCCGUGUUGUAUUAGCCUGCUUCGUGGGAAGAGGGAGAAAAUUCACAACGCUCUAAACCACUGGACCAUACAAUCCUACUACAGCAUGACCUAGCAAACUAGGCUUGCAAGGACAUAUGAUGGUGUGGUUGCCUCAGAGCUAAUUUCAUUAUAUUCUCCGUUUGGUGUACUAGCCUCCACAAGCAGUACAUAUAUUUGUAGGAUUGUAUGGUCCAGUGGUUUAGAGCGUCGUGAAUUUUUGCUCUCUUCUCACAAAGCGGGCUAAAACAACACGGGUUCAGUCCCCUGGCUAGCUGCAGUUUGUUACUGAUUCAAUACCACUUGUUCGCGGUUACAAUAAUACAUUUAUAAGUAUUUACUGUACUGCAAAAUGUAUGAAAAAAAAAGAGAUCAGACAUUUCAUGUGUUUCAGUCAUCAUGAUGUUGGACACAAUGGCAUAGGUCACCCACAGAGUUCUGGCACAGAAGAUUACUUCUUAAUCAAAGGCAAAUGGUGUCAGAAAAAUCCUGAUUAUUUUAUCCAGACAAGUGUGGUACAACUGUAUUACUUAACUACUGAAAUGAGGAUUACUGCAAUUUUGUACUGUAUACACAUGUAAAAAUAAAAUGUUAACCA